UACGGGGGGGGCAAGCGUUGUUCGGAAUUACUGGGCGUAAAGGGCUCGUAGGCGGCCAACUAAGUCGGACGUGAAAUCCCCAGGCUCAACCUGGGAACUGCGUCCGAUACUGGAUGGCUUGAAUUCGGGAGAGGGAUGCAGAAUUCCAGGUGUAGCGGUGAAAUGCGUAGAUAUCUGGAGGAAUACCAGUGGCGAAGGCGAGUCCCUGGACAAUUCCUGACACUGAGGCACGAAAGCCAAGGGAGCAAACAGG
rnacentral:rRNA from 1 species